GCUUGUGGCAGCCAAGCGUUC
rnacentral:sRNA from 1 species